rnacentral:rRNA from 1 species
GUUAUAGGGUCAAGCGAACAAGUGCAUGUGGUGGAUGCCUUGGCGAUCACAGGCGAUGAAGGACGCGGUAGCCUGCGAAAAGCUACGGGGAGCUGGCAAACGAGCUUUGAUCCGUAGAUGUCCGAAUGGGGAAACCCGGCCCUUUUGGGUCAUCCUAGACUGAAUACAUAGGUCUAGUGAAGCGAACGCGGUGAACUGAAACAUCUAAGUAACCGCAGGAAAAGAAAUCAACCGAGAUUCCCAAAGUAGUGGCGAGCGAAAUGGGAAGAGCCUGUACUCUUUAUUUGUAUUGUUAGCCGAACGCUCUGGAAAGUGCGGCCAUAGCAGGUGAUAGCCCUGUAGGCGAAAAACAGUAUGAAAGAACUAGGUGUACGACAAGUAGGGCGGGACACGUGAAAUCCUGUCUGAAGAUGGGGGGACCAUCCUCCAAGGCUAAAUACUCGUGAUCGACCGAUAGUGAACCAGUACCGUGAGGGAAAGGCGAAAAGAACCCCGGGAGGGGAGUGAAAUAGAUCCUGAAACCGCAUGCAUACAAACAGUCGGAGCCUCUUCGGGGGUGACGGCGUACCUUUUGUAUAAUGGGUCAGCGACUUACGUUCAGUAGCAAGCUUAACCGAAUAGGGCAGGCGUAGCGAAAGCGAGUCCGAAUAGGGCGUUCAGUUGCUGGGCGUAGACCCGAAACCAGGUGAUCUAUCCAUGGCCAGGAUGAAGGUGCGGUAACACGUACUGGAGGUCCGAACCCACUAACGUUGAAAAGUUAGGGGAUGAGCUGUGGAUAGGGGUGAAAGGCUAAACAAACCUGGAAAUAGCUGGUUCUCUCCGAAAACUAUUUAGGUAGUGCCUCGUGUCUCACCUUCGGGGGUAGAGCACUGUCAUGGUUGGGGGGUCUAUUGCAGAUUACCCCGCCAUAGCAAACUCCGAAUACCGAAGAGUGCAAUCACGGGAGACAGACAUCGGGUGCUAACGUCCGGUGUCAAGAGGGAAACAACCCAGACCGCCAGCUAAGGUCCCCAAAUAUGGCUAAGUGGGAAACGAAGUGGGAAGGCUAAAACAGUCAGGAGGUUGGCUUAGAAGCAGCCACCCUUUAAAGAAAGCGUAAUAGCUCACUGAUCGAGUCGUCCUGCGCGGAAGAUGUAACGGGGCUAAGCCAUAUACCGAAGCUGCGGAUGCGAGCUAGUCUCGCAUGGUAGGAGAGCGUUCCGUAAGCCUGCGAAGGUGCGUUGAAAAGCGUGCUGGAGGUAUCGGAAGUGCGAAUGCUGACAUGAGUAGCGAUAAAGGGGGUGAAAGGCCCCCUCGCCGUAAGCCCAAGGUUUCCUACGCAACGUUCAUCGGCGUAGGGUGAGUCGGCCCCUAAGGCGAGGCAGAAAUGCGUAGCUGAUGGGAAGCAGGUCAAUAUUCCUGCACCAUUGUUAGAUGCGAUGGGGGGACGGAUCGCGGAAGGUUGUCCGGGUGUUGGAAGUCCCGGUCGCUGCAUUGGAGAAGGCGCUUAGGCAAAUCCGGGCGCAGGAUUCAAGGGUGUGGCGCGAGCUCCUUCGGG